UCCCUUGUGGACGGAGCCUCAGAAGUCUCUAUGAUCCCUGCCUUCCACCCUGGGCUCCCCGGAACCCCAUCAAAACCCCUACUCUGCAGGCCACAUGUGUAACGACACCUGAUAAGGAUCCAGACUGAUUGUGUCCACUCAGUGGGGUUUCUGUUCUCUCCCUAGCCUUCCAAGAGGCCGUGGUUGUCACCAGGGCGCCCCCACCCCUACCCCUGAAUCCCAGCUGCAGGGACUGCCAUUCAAACAUCCACGUGUCCAAGAUGGCUGCGGCAUUGGCAUGAGGACAAACCAACCUACCCCACAAGGGACAACAGUCAUGUUGGAUUAAGGCCCCACCCUACUCCAGGAUGACCUCAUCUGAACUCAUUAUAUCUGCAACAACCCAGUUCCAAAUAAGAAAACUGGAGAACCCCUGCCUUUCCCCUAAGAAAUGCAAAAUAGACUUCAGGCUGGUCCCAGGCUGUUUGCAGAAAACCAGACAUUGGAGGUCUCUUCCAAGAAGUUCAAAAGGGGUUCUGGUUAGUGUGUCCCUUCUCUGUUUGUGUUUUGCUGGUUUCUUGCCCCACCCAGUACUUUAUUCGCUCCCUCUUUUCUUCUUUUCCUUCCCACAAAAGAAAAACUCAU